UGUAAUGAUGCUGUGUUUAAAGACUGUUUUGAGCUUGCAUCCCCACCCAUACUUCCAAUGUGUCUCCUGUUGAUAGAUCCACAUCACUGAAACCAGUCUGGGAUAAGUUAUCCAAAACAAGCACGAUGCACAGUCGUUCCAUGUAACUGGCAUCCUCCCUGCCCCAUGUGAGGCCCUGGUUUCACAAACACUUAUGUACCUGAGUAACUUUAUAUCCAUGAGCAACUACAUCUGUGUUUGCCAGAGCAGGGCCUACAUUUAAAAACAUUUGUGGGUACAGCUGUUGCAGCUGUGUGCAUACAAAGGUGCUUCUAUUCACAAACUGGAUAGCCGGGUGAAGCAAAUGUGAUAACUGUGCAUACUGUCUGUGACACCAGUGCAAACCCCAUUUCUCUCCAGUACAGUGUGCCUACAUUUGGGAUUUGCACUGAUUAUAAUUAGUACAAAUUUCUCUUGUCUAAAAACGCUCCUAGAUAUUACUCUUGUCUGAGAUGAUAUAAGCUUAUUUUGUGAUGGCUUGUGAGCUAAAGUUAAGUGCCGGCAUUUUUAAAGUGUGUCUUACGCUUUGUUUGAAUUUUAUUCUUGCUGCCAAGUCUCACUUGCUAACCUGAGUUAUAAGAAUUUAUGCUGUUGAACCUGCCCUCAAGCAUGCGUGAUAGGACUUGAGCCAAGUAAAUUCAUAGAUUCUAAGGCACCAUUCAAUCACAGUCUGACCUUCUGUCUAUCACAGGCCACUAAACUUCUCCCACUUGCCCCUGUGUUGAGCCUAAUAACUUGUGUUUGACUAAAGCAUCUUCCAGAAAGGCAUCAGUAUGGAUCUGAAGACAUCAAGAGAUGGCGAAUCCACCACUUCCACUUGGAGUUUUUUCCAAUGGAGUUAUGCUCAUUCAUUCAAGGAACAGAACAACCUUCACCUCUGACUGAUGUAUUCAAUCAAAUUCAUCAAACCAGCUUGAAUUCUGGAUAUGGGCUAUUCACCACAAACUGCAUGGAAACAAUCCGCUGACCAAGCGUUACUUGCUGAAAUGAUUUUGGAAACAACUGAGGGAGUGGCAACCCAGAGAGUGACAAAGGAUUCCAGCCUUAUGUAAAAGAUAUAUAAAGAGGUGGAGCAGAACAAGAGGAGGAGAG